CGGAAGUGUUUAUUUACUGUCGAUUAUUAUUUGACACUGUCAAAUUCUGAAAACGUAUCAUUAUCAGUGCCUUUGAAAACGGAUGAUCGAACAAAUUUGAAAAGAGAACACGAUGAGCCAGAACGGGAAAAGUUAUUUUUCUAUACAAAAGCAACAAGAAGACCCGUUCUCAAUCGGAGACAUGAUCAAGUUCAACCAAGGCAUCAAAUCACUCACUUCGCCUGUUGUAAUCUACAAUCACUAUGGCAUCUACAUUGGCGAUGGUCAAGUGGUAUAUUUCGAUGUCACCUCUGAUUAUUCUAGCUACAACUGGCCAGAACCAAGAUUUAUUCUGAAGAUGGAAAAAAUCAUGCUAGGUCCCCCGAGACUUCUGCAGUUUAGGUACACAGUCGACAACUACCUCGAUUACAAACACUCACCGAAACGAGACAUCAAAAAGUUCACCUUGGAUAAUUUGAGCGGCAAAAGGGUUUGGAAUUACAGUUUAACUGCGAAAAACAGCGCAAGUUGGGCUGCUUGGUGCCGAUACAGAGUUGAUACAAUCAAAGAACCAACGAAAAAAGUCAAAGCAGGAAUCGGAGAAAAAGAAAGUAUAAAGAAAGCAGCUUUUGGCCUAGCCUAUGGACUUGCGGGAGUUAAAAUCGGUGCAGAAAAAUAUAUGAAACUAGAAAAUUCAGAAAAAACAGACGAGAUAGAUGACGAAAAACUGAGCCUGAUAAAAAAACCGAGUUUCCGAAAAUUCGAAGAAAAAAGAUGUUGUUACCCUAUUCGUCGAUCUUUGAUUGACAGAUCCUUUGAACUUUGAUUACUGCGUAAUCAUAAGUAAUUGCCUGCUUUACAUGGCGUACAAUCAAUUCAUUUCUCGAGCAAAUUUUAAAAAAUUCAAUCGACCGAACCGAAGUUUUUGAAA